rnacentral:ncRNA from 1 species
AAAAAGUUUUAUUCUUGCUUAAAAACUUGUUUUAAGUAUAUUUUACAUGUAAUUGAUUUAGUGUUAAGUGUAGAACCUUAAAGGUCUAUAGAUUAGAGUUAUUCGCAGUAUUUAAUAUUAAAUAUUAGAGUAAUCUAGAUUUAGAAAUAUUUAAUAAUACCGGCAAAAAUCGUGCCAGCAGCCGCGGUUACACGGAGGGUGUAAAUGAGUUUUAUUAGUGUAUAAUUAUAAAAAAGAUUAAAUAGUAUGGAAAAUUAAAUUAGUUUUUUAGGGUGAAAUUUUUGAAGCUAAAUUAUUUUUGUGUAGAGUUAUUAGAAGUUAUGAAAUUUAUGUUUUAAACUAGGAUUAGAUACCCUAUUAUAUUAAAUGUGAAGAUGUUAGACACUUGAGUAGUAAUAGUUAUGGUCUUCAAACUUAAAGAAUUUGGCGGUGUUUUAGUCUAUUCAGAGGAACCUGUCCCGUAAUUGAUAGUCCACGUAGAAUCUUACUUAAGUAUGUUUUCAGUUUGUAUACCGCCGUCAUCAGAAUGUCUUUUGAAAGUUAAAAUUUUCUUAAAUUUUUAUUAAAAAUGAUGUCAGGUCAAGGUGCAGCCAAUGCUUAAAGUGGUGAUGGGUUACAAUAAAGGUAUUUAAAUGGAUUUUUAUUUGAAAAAAUAGUAUGAAGGUGGAUUUGAUGGUAAAAUUAUUAAUGAAGUUAAUUUGAUUUUAGCUCUAAAACAUGCACACAUCGCCCGUCGCUCUCAUUUUUAUUAAGAUGAGAUAAGUCGUAACAUAGUAGGUGUACCGGAAGGUGCCCCUGGAAAGUA